GCUGCAGAAUCAUGAAUUUGUUAAUUAAGAAUGAUUGUAAAUUUGUAAUUUAGUAGAGUUAAGCAUAACCAUUGUAUUUUAACAACAAAAUAAAAGACUCCCAAACUCAGAAGUCAGAAAUCCGCAAACUCAGAAGAGAUGGUCACAACUUCGAUUCUUACGGCUCCUUUAAUGGGCACAAGUCUUUUUUUUCUGGAGUGUUAAAGAUCAAGAGAUAUUUCAUCCUUUGGUUGGUUGUGCUCACUCGUUAAAGGUGGCAUAUAGAUUUUGAUGUAUCCUUGGCAAGCCCUGUUCAUGUUAAGGUUAGAGAAUAUAUUUGCUCCAGUCACAUUCUAAUAUUAUUGAUGGGUCGAUAAGCAUUUCCUCCAGGAGGCCUCUGUUUUCUACCCUUGAGAAUAGGUGUCUUACGGAGAAGAGCAUAAAUGGUCAGACUUAUGGUAUCCAUUGCCAACUAUUGAGGUCUAUGUUACUGGUUGCUUCUCAGGAAAACCCAUCGAUUUAACCAAGACUCUGCAACUUGGUUUGAGAAAGAAGCAGAGUAGAAGAUUGGCAUUAAAUUCAAUCCCUGAGUAUAAAACUGCAGAGCCUCAGAAAGACACCUCCUCUGCACCUGAUCUUCAGGUAACUUUCAAGUUGUCAUUGUUUUAAAGAUAUAGCAUAUGCCUGGUACAAUCCUCUUUCUUCUCAAUGCCUCCCAGUUUUCUUGAACAUUUUGUUUUGUGUUCAACACAUUAAUUACUAUCCCUGAUGAAAAACUUAGAUUUCGUAACAUGUUGGAUCCUCUUCUUUCCCCAUUGAUUACUUGUUUGUUGGUAGUUUAGUAAAUGUAUAAAUUUGCACCUUAUUUUUUUUUUUUACCUUGAAAUUUUGAGAGAAUCCUCUUUUGAAAACCGUUUGUACUUGGGUGUGAUGUGAAAUAAACACAUUGGGUGUGGAUAUGUUAUGUUGGUAUUUGUUUUGCUGAGAGAAUAGCCAUUUUUGUAUUCAGAAUUUGGCUAAUGAGAACUUGCAAACUAGCUCUGUAACUAGACGGGUCUACAAGUUCUAAUUAACUGGAUUUUUAGCUUCA